rnacentral:rRNA from 1 species
UAUUCCUACGGGAGGCAGCAGUGAGGAAUAUUGGUCAAUGGGCGCGAGCCUGAACCAGCCAAGUCGCGUGAGGGAAGACGGUCCUAUGGAUUGUAAACCUCUUUUGUCGGGGAGCAAGGCCCGCCACGUGUGGCGGGAAGGAGAGUACCCGAAGAAAAGGCAUCGGCUAACUCCGUGCCAGCAGCCGCGGUAAUACGGAGGAUGCGAGCGUUAUCCGGAUUUUUUGGGUUUAAAGGGUGCGUAGGCGGAAGGUUAAGUCAGCGGUCAAAUGUCGGUGCUCAACACCGG